UUCAUUAUUUACCUUGCUUGUCAAUGGGAUUUAAGAUUGGACCUAUAAUGUUUUUGCAUUUUAUUUUAUAGUCAAUCUAAGGAGGUAACAUCGUGAUGAAAUACAGUGUUUGUGUUUUUAUUGAAUUGCUCAUUUUCGUCUGCUUCUUCAGUAGAGGGCUUCAAAACAAGAUAAUCUUUUCAAUUCAUGGUUCAAUUAAAGAAAUAAACUUGCUUAAUGGCGUAGUAUCUAAUUUAUUAUCCAAUCUGCAAAGUAAUAUAUACUCCUUAGACUAUGAUUAUGAAACUGGAUAUGUGUUUUUCCCAAGGCAUAAUAAAGACGACAUUUUGAGAUUUCGUUAUCCAUCAGAUACAGCUUAUAGCACAGAGUUGGUAACAAGUGCAAGGGAACCAAUAGCUCUGGUUAUCGACCCGUUAUUGAAUCAUGUGUAUUAGACAGAAAUAUACCAACAAAGCAUAUAUAGAUGUAAUUUUGAUGGGACAAAUAAGACAUUUAUUCUGAGAGAUGAUCAACUAUAUGCUAUUACAUUAGAUUAUGUAAACAGUUGGCUGUAUUAUAGUACAAAGACAAACAAAAUAAGAAGAUCAAGAUUAAAUGGUGCUAACAAACAGACCCUCAAAGAAUUGGUAGAUGUAACUGGUUUGGGUAUAGAUGCUAACAAAAAACGACUGUAUUGGAUGGAAUAUCAAAAAGGGGAUUUGGAAUCUUCUGAUCUCAAUGGAACAAAUGCUAUCAAAGUUGUCAGCACGAAUAACAACAGAAAAAACCUAGGCAUUUAUGUAUAUGGUAGCAAAAUAUAUUGCUCAAAUGGUAAUCAAACAUUAAAGGUCACAGUAUUACCAGUAACAAUGGCAGAGGUCGUACACACAGAUACAGAGACAAUUCAUGAUGUACUUUUUUAUGAUGGUAAGAAUAUACUUAUUGGAAGAAAAGGGUAAAGAUAAAUUUUCUUACAUAUUCGUAUACUGUUUAUAUUUGUCAAUCAAGAUACAAUCAGAUAAACGGUACCAAU